rnacentral:rRNA from 1 species
UGCCCCAUACACCGGAAUAGCUCCUGGAAANGGGUGGUAAUGCCGGAUGUUCCGACUCCUCGCAUGGGGUGUCGGGAAAGAUUUCAUNGGUAUGGGAUGGGGUCGCGUCCUAUCAGGUAGUCGGNGGGGUAACGGCCCACCGAGCCUACGACGGGUAGCCGGCCUGAGAGGGCGACCGGCCACAUUGGGACUGAGAUACGGCCCAGACUCCUACGGGAGGCAGCAGUGGGGAAUAUUGCACAAUGGGCGCAAGCCUGAUGCAGCGACGCCGCGUGCGGGAUGACGGCCUUCGGGUUGUAAACCGCUUUUGAUCGGGAGCAAGCCUUCGGGUGAGUNUACCUUUCGAAUAAGCACCGGCUAACUACGUGCCAGCAGCCGCGGUAAUACGUAGGGUGCAAGCGUUAUCCGGAAUUAUUGGGCGUAAAGGGCUCGUAGGCGGUUCGUCGCGUCCGGUGUGAAAGUCCAUCGCUUAACGGUGGAUCUGCGCCGGGUACGGGCGGGCUGGAGUGCGGUAGGGGAGACUGGAAUUCCCGGUGUAACGGUGGAAUGUGUAGAUAUCGGGAAGAACACCAAUGGCGAAGGCAGGUCUCUGGGCCGUUACUGACGCUGAGGAGCGAAAGCGUGGGGAGCGAACAGGAUUAGAUACCCUGGUAGUCCACGCCGUAAACGGUGGAUGCUGGAUGUGGGGCCCGUUCCACGGGUUCCGUGUCGGAGCUAACGCGUUAAGCAUCCCGCCUGGGGAGUACGGCCGCAAGGCUAAAACUCAAAGAAAUUGACGGGGGCCCGCACAAGCGGCGGAGCAUGCGGAUUAAUUCGAUGCAACGCGAAGAACCUUACCUGGGCUUGACAUGUUCCCGACCGCGGCAGAGAUGUCGUUUCCCUUCGGGGCGGGUUCACAGGUGGUGCAUGGUCGUCGUCAGCUCGUGUCGUGAGAUGUUGGGUUAAGUCCCGCAACGAGCGCAACCCUCGCCCUGUGUUGCCAGCACGUCAUGGUGGGAACUCACGGGGGACCGCCGGGGUCAACUCGGAGGAAGGUGGGGAUGACGUCAGAUCAUCAUGCCCCUUACGUCCAGGGCUUCACGCAUGCUACAAUGGCCGGUACAACGGGAUGCGACACGGCGACGUGGAGCGGAUCCCUGAAAACCGGUCUCCGUUCAUUGGAGUCUNCAACCCGA